ACCAAGCAGCGGAGCAUGUGGUUUAAUUCGAAGCAACGCGAAGAACCUUACCAGGGCUUGACAUCCCUCUGACAGUCCCUUAACCGGGACCUUCUUCGGACAGAGGAGACAGGUGGUGCAUGGUUGUCGUCAGCUCGUGUCGUGAGAUGUUGGGUUAAGUCCCGCAACGAGCGCAACCCUUGUCUUUAGUUGCCAUCAUUCAGUUGGGCACUCUAGAGAGACUGCCGAGGACAACUCGGAGGAAGGUGGGGAUGACGUCAAAUCAUCAUGCCCCUUAUGUCCUGGGCUACACACGUGCUACAAUGGCUGGUACAAAGAGACGCAAGACCGCGAGGUGGAGCAAAUCCCUAAAAGCUGUCUCAGUUGGGAUCGGAGUCUGCAACUCGACUCCGUGAACGCGGAAUCGCUAGUAAUCGUGGAUCAGCCAUGCCACGGUGAAUACGUUCCCGGGCCUU
rnacentral:rRNA from 2 species